GACCGCGUAGCUCAGUUGGCAGAGCAUUGGGCUAGUAUUCCAAAGGUCGUAGGUUCGAUUCCCACCGUGGCCC